rnacentral:rRNA from 1 species
GUGCAGCAGGCGCGAAAACUCCGCAAUGCACGAAAGUGCGACGGGGUUACCUCGAGUGCCGCCUGAUGAAGGCGGCUUUUCCACAGUGUAAGGAGCUGUGGGAAUAAGGAGAGGGCAAGUCUGGUGUCAGCCGCCGCGGUAAUACCAGCUCUCCGAGUGGUAGGGAUGAUUAUUGGGCUUAAAGCGUCCGUAGCUGGCCUUUCAAGUCUCUUGUUAAAUCCAGCGAUUCAAUCGUUGGACUGCGGGAGAUACUGUUAGGCUAGGGGGCGGGAGAAGCCGACGGUAUUUCCGGGGUAGGGGUAAAAUCCUAUAAUCCCGGGAAGACCACCAGUGGCGUAGGCGGUCGGCUAGCACGCGCUCGACAGUGAGGGACGAAAGCUGGGGUAGCGAACCGGAUUAGAUACCCGGGUAGUCC